GGAGUUGGCCAGGCAAUCGCUGUGUUUGCAUCCGCAGGCAUGGAGGAAAGUCCGGGCUCCAUAGGGCAGGGUGCCAGGUAACCCCUGGGUGGCGUGAGCCAACGGACAGUGCCACAGAAAAUAAACCGCCGAUGGGUGUCGCGUGCGGCAUCACAGGUAAGGGUGAAAAGGUGCGGUAAGAGCGCACCGCGCCGGUGGUAACACCGUGCGGCACGGAAAACCCCCCCGGAGCAAGGCCAAAUAGAGGUGUAUGGUGUGGCCCGCAUCGCACCAGGGUAGGCCGCUUGAGGUCGGCGGUGACGCCGAUCCCAGAUGAAUGAUUGCCCACGACAGAACCCGGCUUAUCGGCUGACUCCACUC
rnacentral:RNase_P_RNA from 2 species